rnacentral:rRNA from 1 species
UACGUAGGGGGCAAGCGUUGUCCGGAUUUAUUGGGCGUAAAGAGCGUGUAGGCGGUUAGGUAGGUCCGUUGUGAAAACUCGAGGCUCAACCUCGAGACGCCGAUGGAAACCAUCUAACUAGAGUCCGGAAGAGGAGAGUGGAAUUCCUGGUGUAGCGGUGAAAUGCGCAGAUAUCAGGAAGAACACCCGUGGCUAAGGCGGCUCUCCAGUACGGUACUGACGCUGAGACGCGAAAGCGUGGGGAGCGAACAGG